UUUUUUUUCCUACUCAGAGCCCCUUGCUUGACACACAAAACUCGCAUUGCCUACUGGAUCAAGGACAGACAGCUCACCAACCACGACAGCGCCAUACUGGAACUUCAAAAAGUUCUGAAAACAUGUUGUGCUCAGAGCAUGAAAAUUUUCUGCUGUCUUUGGAACUUUGUCUACAAACAGUUAGAAGAAGAUGCAGCCCAAGGGCUCACCAUGGGUGGCGAUGUUGAAGAACAUGAAGACCUUACUGCUGAUAGCACCAUCUUCAAAUUUAUGGAAGCUUAUACAGAGUGGGAGGUGAAGAGGUGGUCAGACAACAAUCUGAUAAUGAAACAAACAAAUGUGAAGAGAAGACGCUUAGAUGAUGGUGGCCCUGAAUUGGAAAAGGCUGUCUGGGAGCUCGGCUGCCCACCCAGCAUUCAGUGUCUGCGACCUUCUGUCUGUUAUGCUUGUGUCUGGAUUUUUCAAGUUUUAAUUUUUUUUUAAUUCUUAGUUUUUGUGGAUACAUAGUAGGUGUAUAUAUUUAUGGGUUACAUGAGAUGUUUUGAUACAGGUAUGCAAUACGUAAUAAUCACAUCAUGGAGAAUGGGGUACCCAUCACAUCAAGCAUUUAUCCUUUGUGUUACAAACGGUCCAGUUAGACUCUUUUAGUUAUUAUUAAAACGUAC
rnacentral:sRNA from 1 species